rnacentral:lncRNA from 1 species
GUUCCUGGUCGAAAAACAAAGUCCAUUUAUAAGUAAAAUACUAAAAAAAAUGGAAUUACAUUUUUACAAAAUUUACUCCUGAAUCUUAUGAACAUAAAUAAACUCCUGUCCAAAUUUGGUAGAAAUCCAGGAUAUUUCAAAUAAUAUUAAAAUUUUAAAAACUUGACCCACAGAGUGAAUAUUUGUGGACGCCGCCGACAACAUCGAUGGAAUGUAGGAUCGCUAUGUCUCGCUUUUUCGACUAAAGUCGAAAACUCGACAAAAUGUUUAAAUUCACAGGACAACAAGUUAACUUUAAAAAAAUUGUCUACAUUCAGAGCUCAACAACUUAACUUUAACAUAUAAUUGUCUACCUACAUAGGUCCACAAGUUUCCAGGAUUAGUGGUGAGGUAAGGGUUAGAGCAUCAAUUGUAAGGAUUAUGAUUGAGGAUGUUUGCUUGUCA